UACUAUGUUACGACUUAUCUCAUCUUAAUAACGAGAGUGACGGGCGAUGUGUGCACAUUUUAGAGCCAAAAUCACAAAAAUAAUUCUUAUUAAUAAUUACUAUUAAAUCCACCUUCAUAAAAUUUUUCAAGCCUUAAUUCAUUUACUUUUUAAAUAUUGUAAUCCAUCUCCACUUAAUUAUCAACUGCACCUUGACCUGAAUUAAAAUUAAUUCAAAUUUAAAGAAGAUUUAACCCUAAAAAGAUCUUCAAAUAAACGGCGGUAUACAUAUUAAAUCAUAUUAAGUAAGGUUCAACGUGGAUUAUCGAUAAUGGGACAGAUUCCUCUAACUAGACUAAAAUACCGCCAAAUUCUUUAAGUUUCAAGUACAUAUCUAAUACUACUCAAGAUUAAAAUUUUAUAUCCAAAAUAAUAGGGUAUCUAAUCCUAGUUU
rnacentral:rRNA from 1 species